UACAGAGGUCUCAAGCGUUGUUCGGAUUCAUUGGGCGUAAAGGGUGCGUAGGCGGCGCGGUAAGUCGGGUGUGAAAUCUCGGAGCUUAACUCCGAAACUGCAUUCGAUACUGCCGUGCUUGAGGACUGGAAAGGAGACUGGAAUUUACGGUGUAGCGGUGAAAUGCGUAGAUAUCGUAAGGAAGACCAGUGGCGAAGGCGGGUCUCUGGACAGUUCCUGACGCUGAGGCGCGAAGGCCAGGGGAGCAAACGGG
rnacentral:rRNA from 1 species